CUUCUAUUUUGAUUUGCAUGUCUCUCAUUUGUUAUUUCCACCUGCCUAGUGUUCUUGAUUAAAUCUCACAUGGUAUCAAAGCUUGAAUAGUGCAAAUGAAGAUGCAACUGAUUCGCAAGCAAUUUCUUCAUGAAGAUAAAUGAGGUAACAGGUGGCCUGUUCCUUUUUACAUUGAACCAGAUUUUGAACCUACGGGAAUUGCAUUCUGAACCUACGGGAAUUGCAUUCUAGCGCAAGAAGUUCCAGAUCGACCAAGGCAUAUAGUAGCUUUAGAUUGAUUUUGUCAUUCAACUAGUCAUAUCAACCCUGUUUUGGCACUUUUUGUGUAUUGAAUCAUGACUGGUGCUCAUUUAUGGAGGCAUGAUGAUAUUGAACUACAUCCUUUAGCUUUUUGGAGACACGAAUGUGCAUUUGAAUCUGCCUCUGGCGUUUCAUAGUUCUGUGCUGUGGCAAUCAACUUGUUUGAGGCGUUAAUUUGGCUCUUGGACCACUACUUGUCUUGUGUAUUGGUGCAGCCAAAAAUCUACUUUACUUUGGGCAGAAAUUCAUUAUCAGAUAUCUUCCUUUUAUUUGCAUCAUUGACCUUGUCUGGAGACAUCAUUUGAGUCGACCUACAAUUUUGUGCUAUCUGCUACAAUUCUUUGGCGGGCUGGCUUAAACAUCACACACUGAGCUUUGACCGUUUAGGUGGAUGGUGUGGGCCCGCUUAAUCCGUUCUGUUUUCUUACCCGUUUCCGUUCCACUAAACACUCUUGUUACAGUCAGCGAUCAGCGAUCAGCGGUCAGCAGUUCCCGCGCGUGACAAAUCCGAACUCAAAUUCAAAUGUCAUUCCCGCGCUGCUCCAGUAGUUUGGUGGGAGCCAUAAAGUGUCUUUGUGAGGCAAUCGGACUGUUUCACUAGUCUCCAAGCCGAUCAGUUCACAUUUUUACCAGCGUAAUCGCAACCUGUGCAAAAAUUGGGGCAUUGGAACAGGAUUUAGGUGUCCGUAAAAGCAUGAACAACAGGCCACUUUCAUCCAAUGUAGUUGAAAUUGGUCUGGUAGACAUGCAUUCAAAAUGGGGAAGUAUAGACAAGGCGCGUGAGGUGUUUGACCGAAUGGCUCAAAGAAAUGCGGUUUCAUGAAAUGACAAGGUCAUUGCUAUAAAAGCUCCUCACAAACAAUGUGAAGGAUGAGCAAAUGUAGGUUUAUUUAAACACACAAAACUUUAUUUUCAGUUCAUGACCGCCUAUAUAGCUUCUCUGCUUUUAUCUUU